rnacentral:rRNA from 1 species
UACGUAGGGUCCGAGCGUUGUCCGGAAUUACUGGGCGUAAAGGGCUCGUAGGCGGUCUGUCGCGUCGGUAGUGAAAACUCAGGGCUCAACCCUGAGCGUGCUUUCGAUACGGGCAGACUAGAGGUAUGCAGGGGAGAAUGGAAUUCCUGGUGUAGCGGUGGAAUGCGCAGAUAUCAGGAGGAAUACCGAAGGCGAAGGCAGUCUUCCAAGCCGUUAUUGACCCUCAACUGCGAAGGUGUGGGUAUCAAACAGGAUUAGAUACCCGCGUAGUCCCU